rnacentral:lncRNA from 1 species
ACAAGAUUCACAAAUAUAAAUUUUUAGAAUCACAUAUUUUAUAAAUACACUAACGUAUUGAUACACUAAUCGAAUAAAAUAUAAACAUUAUAGCUACCUCUUUUUCUCAAAAACCAUAACCAUCAUGUGAAAUUUAUCUCUUUCACAAGUUUCCUAAAAUCAGCAAUUAUGAAUCUAAAAAUAAAAUUAUUUCUUGCUAACCAAAUGUUCAACACAACGGCUAGCUAGCCAAAUCAUGGGUUUGGGUUUUUUCACCAACUUCA